rnacentral:pre_miRNA from 1 species
AGUGUGAUUGCCAGAUUAUAUGGUAAGAAUAUUCGUUUUAUAAGAAACUGCCAAACUUUCUUCCAAAGUGGCUGUACCAUUUUGCAUUUCCACCAACAAC